rnacentral:misc_RNA from 1 species
UCCGGUUUGGCACCGGCGGUCUCCCUAGAGUUCCCGGCAUGAUCCGCUGGCAACUAAGGAUAGGGGUUGCGCUCGUUGCGCCACUUAACCCAACAUCUCAUGACACGAGCUGACGACAGCCAUGCAGCACCUGUGCAAAUUCUCCCUUGCGGGAGUCGCCGGCUUUCACCGGUUUAGAGAUGCAUGUCAAGGCCAGGUAAGGUUCUUCGCGUUGCAUCGAAUUAAGCCACAUACUCCACCGCUUGUGCGGGCCCCCGUCAAUUUCUUUGAGUUUUAAUCUUGCGACCGUACUCCCCAGGCGGCACGUUUAACGCGUUAGCUCCGGCACGGAAGGGGUCGAAUCCUCCCACACCAAACGUGCACCGUUUACUGCCAGGACUAC